rnacentral:tRNA from 1 species
UGGCUCAGAUGGUAAAGCACCCGCUUGCAAUGCAGGAGACCUGGGUUCGAUCCCUAG